rnacentral:rRNA from 1 species
UAAGGAAUAUUGGACAAUGGACGCAAGUCUGAUCCAGCCAUGCCGCGUGAAGGAUGAAUGCCCUCUGGGUUGUAAACUUCUUUUACAGGGGAAGAAAGUUAUCUUUUUUAGGAUAUUUGACGGUACCCUAUGAAUAAGCACCGGCUAACUCCGUGCCAGCAGCCGCGGUAAUACGGAGGGUGCAAGCGUUAUCCGGAUUCACUGGGUUUAAAGGGUGCGUAGGCGGGUAUGUAAGUCAGUGGUGAAAUACCGGAGCUUAACUUCGGAACUGCCAUUGAUACUAUAUAUCUUGAAUAUUGUGGAGGUAAGCGGAAUAUGUCAUGUAGCGGUGAAAUGCUUAGAGAUGACAUAGAACACCGAUUGCGAAGGCAGCUUACUACGCAAAUAUUGACGCUGAGGCACGAAAGCGUGGGGAUCAAACAGG